rnacentral:piRNA from 1 species
CUGCUAAUUGGUGACACCGAGUU